AUGACUGAAAUGACUGAACAACAUCAACCACCUCAGUUGGGGGAAGAUACCAUGAUACUAUGGGGCUGCUUCUGGCGAGAUUGCAUAUCCUGUCUACCAUCUCAUCUCAUAGGAAUCAGACCAUUUGUACAUACCUGGGGUAGUAUGCUCACUUCUAGAUGCCACUGCUUGGGAAGGACAUUUAUAAGCACAAGAAAAGGACAAUUUGAAAGUUCAUCCCUUAACUCUGGCCAGGACCCUGUUGCCAGCAGCGGCUUUGACUGAAAUAGACAUCAGGAGUGCCAAGUUUCCAGGCACCAGCUGCCAUGGUCCAUUCUCUAAGCUGCUGCGGUUGUACUGGCAGCUGUAUCAGCCUAAGACAGGCAGACAUCAACAGGUAAAGUGUGUGACUGCAAUUUUUUUCUCUAUAGACCCUAGGGGGUAUAAUGGUUGGGGGCUGGACUUGGGGGCAGGAAGAUCUGAAGUAAAAUCUGGCCUCAAAUAGCUAUUAGCUAUGCUGGUCUCUUUGUUAUCACAUAGGGUCACAAUGAGGUGGACAUUACUAAAAUGAUUGGACAACAAAAGACCUACUCAAAUUUUGCCAUAGAACCAUGGACUUCCAUAGAAAAUAGUGUGAGAAAUGUUGAUCUUGUUAAUUCCUUCAUUUUACAGAAAAGCAAACCAGAGAAGUAAAGGCACUUGCUCAAGAAGCCAGAGAGCUCAGGAGAGUUGUGCAAAGACCCACAAAAAAAUCACAAAUCCUCUGAGUUGGUAGGGGCAUCAUAUGCCAUCUAUUUCAAUCCAUAACUGAAUUGUAACCUCUUUUAUGAUAUAAUCCCAAAAAGCAAUUACCCUACCUCUCCUUGAAAACUUCAGCAAGAGAGAACUCAUCAUCUCCUAAGGCAGCCCAUACACAUCUGGACAGUUCCAAUUGUCAGGAAGAUUUCCUUCACAUAAAGCCAAAACUUAAUUUCUCUAUAAUAUUAACCCU
rnacentral:lncRNA from 1 species